rnacentral:snoRNA from 1 species
CCCCUCUGAGGAUCGCACCUGGAGAAUUUCCAGUACUCUACCAGUCUCGACUACGGGAGAGAGUCAAGCAGAGGCCUACCCAUUCCAUUCCUACCUUGGGCAGUGGCUAGUGAGUGGAAGGCAAUCUGCUACAGGU